rnacentral:rRNA from 1 species
GACGAACGCUGGCGGCGUGCCUAAUACAUGCAAGUCGAACGAGAGCGACCGGUGCUUGCACUGGUCAAUCUAGUGGCGAACGGGUGAGUAACACGUGGGUAACCUGCCCAUCAGAGGGGGAUAACAUCCGGAAACGGAUGCUAAAACCGCAUAGGUCUUCGAACCGCAUGGUUUGAAGAGGAAAAGAGGCGCAAGCUUCUGCUGAUGGAUGGACCCGCGGUGCAUUAGCUAGUUGGUGAGGUAACGGCUCACCAAGGCCGUGAUGCAUAGCCGACCUGAGAGGGUGAUCGGCCACAUUGGGACUGAGACACGGCCCAAACUCCUACGGGAGGCAGCAGUAGGGAAUCUUCCGCAAUGGACGCAAGUCUGACGGAGCAACGCCGCGUGAGUGAAGAAGGUUUUCGGAUCGUAGAACUCUGUUGUUAGAGAAGAACAAGUGCUAGAGUAACUGUUAGCGCCUUGACGGUAUCUAACCAGAAAGCCACGGCUAACUACGUG